UCGGGAUCCACUAGAGACUGCUCUGAAUGUGGCAAAGUCUCUUCUCUCGCUUCUCAGCCUCCUUCUGCAUUCUUUCUCAACUUUGAGCACUGUGACUCUGCUGGAGAAAAGACAUUCCUGGGUCCCUCAGGUUUCCUGAAGGGUCCCAGGCUUCUGCCAGCAGAAAGAAGUCUUCAGAGCUGAGUUCUGCCCAGGAGAGGAUCCAGCGCAGGAGCCAGGUGAGGGGAGAGCUUCAGGUUCUAUGAGGCAACUCAGAAACUGGGGAACUGCCGUGGACAGGCCGGGGCUCUCUCGCUCCUGUGAGAGGCGCUUUCACGGCAAACUGCCGGUGAAAGUGACAGAACAGUGCCAGAAAAAGAUGCCAAAGGACCUAUGUGC